rnacentral:lncRNA from 1 species
UAGCAUGAUAUCGAUGCUUUGCGUUGGCUAUCACGUCAAUAAUAAUGACACAAUUCAUCAUCUAUCGCAUCGACACCAUCGACACGGUGCAUCGCCUGUCGCGUCACUGGGCAUAUUUUUCUCAUUAAAUUCCAAUUUUCUAAGGGAAAUUAGGUCCUUUUCCCCUCACCCAAUUUAGACAAAACAUGAAAUUAAGAUUCCAAAAGGGCAAAAUAUAUUCAUUAUUCUCAAAAUCCUCCCAAGAAAUAAACCCUAGUUCAUCAAGCUCAAGAUCAAGUUCCAAGAAAUCCCCAACAAUCUCCACGAAUUUCGUCACUCAGGUAUGUUAGGUGUUCAUCUUUGGGUUUCCUUCCACCC